AUCUUACAAACAAACACACGUUUUCCUGCGUCUGGAAAUAAGUGUUUCAGAUACUUAUUUUGUCUUUUCAGCUGAAGUAACACAUUGUCAUUCUUUUGCCUGGACUGAUGGUGACUGAUGAACUUCUGAAUCAUCCAACGCCUUCAUUCUUGUGCACUUUUUGAAGUGUCAUUCUUUUGCCUGGACUGAUGGUGACUGAUGAACUUCUGAAUCAUCCAACACCUUCAUUCUUUUGCACCUAUUGAAGGUCUGUAACGACAUGGGCUCCUCAAAGCAAGUCUACAAUCCAAGUGAACUGAACCCCAGCAAGACCAGUCCUACG